GACGAACCGUGCGAACAUUAUUCGGAAUCACUGGGCUUAAAGCGCGUGUAGGCGGGGCGGCACGUCGGUCGCUGAAAGCCCCCGGCUCGAACCGGGGAACGGGCGCCGAUACGACCGCCCUCGAGGGACGUAGGGGGACCUGGAACUUCCGGUGGAGCGGUGAAAUGCGUUGAGAUCGGAAGGAACGCCCGUGGCGAAAGCGAGGUCCUGGACGUCUGCUGACGCUGAGACGCGAAAGCCAGGGGAGCGAACGGG
rnacentral:rRNA from 1 species